rnacentral:lncRNA from 1 species
CAUGGGGGCAACUGUUGUCAGCAACAGGCUAGGCACAGGAAAACAGUUGGAAUGGAAAGAGGAGGAGCGAGCUGCCUUCUUCGGGGCGGGCUUGGCAAGGGGCCUUGACCUGAUCUGUGCCAUGGGCGGCCUUCCCAGGAUGUUAACGAGACACACGAAGGCUUUGGAAAGACAGAAAGUGGCCAACGACGACAACAACAAACCGAUGCCUCCCCUGAGCAGAACUUUAUUGUGUGUCUGCUAACCUGCUUCUGAGCACACUCACCCAGCGCCGAGCAAAUAGUCGGUUCUUUUUUUGGUGGGCUCAAUCUGAAUCAGCCUGAGGGUUUAAGGGAAAUCGUGCUUAAAGAAAACAAAAAUCCCACCUGGAGGCGCACAGCCCACACAUUUCACAGCUGUUUCAUUGUUGGGACCAUUUAAAAAAUGACCUCAGGUAGGAAACGGGCAGGUUUAAGCAGGCUAUUUUGCACUGACCCCACUGUAGUUAUUAUUAUUUUUUUUAAUUUUAAGCCCUUACCUUCCAUCUUGGAGUCAAUACUGUGUAUUCUCCAAGGCAGAAGAGUGGUAAGGGCUAGGCAAUGGGGGUCAAGUGACUUGCCCAAGGUCAUAUAGCUGGGAAGUGUCUGAGACCAAAAUUGAACCUAGGACCUCCUGUUCUCCCUUCUGUAGUUUAUUAAGAGAAUCAUGCACACACAAUUUAUAUAUAGUAGUAGUAGUCUCUUGGUAACCAAGGAUGACGAUUGUCUUUGUUCACUUUCAUCUGUGAUGUAGAUGAGUGUGCACAAAAACACUUGUGCGUGAAGGAGAUUUAAAUGGAAAAGUCGAUGCACAGAGACAGUCCCACUCUCUCGGUGUUGGAAGCCUGGGUCCAGUGGCACGAAAAGUCAUUACACCUGGAGACUUCCUCAGCUGCAUUGGAUGGCCGUGUUGUCCUUUGUGCUCCAACAUGCCCUAAGCACUCCACAGUGCUUUGCUGCGUCGCCCUCUCAGCCGUUGAACCUUCUUAUUGGUUUCUUCCAUCUGUUUGGCCGAAGCAGUCUUCACAUGCUGGGUGAGCAAAGCCCUGGUUCACCAGAGGUCGACGACCCGAUGGCUACCCUCACAAGGUUUAGCCGGCCUGUCGAAGCCGUUGCCCAGAUUUUAAGUGAUCUUCAGAUGGUUAUUGCAAGGGACCACAACAUUUCUGGCAUGGGGGAAUGA